UACGAGGGGGGGGGCCAGCGUUUAUUUCGGAAUUUAUUUUGGCGUAAGGCGCGUAGGCGGCCAUGCGUGUCUUUUCCGUGAAUCCUCGGCUUUAACUGAGGACGUGCGGAAGAAACUGCAAGGCUUGAGUCCGGGAGAGGGGGGGGGGGUGGAAUUUCCCAGUGUAGCGGUGAAUGCGUAGAUAUUUGGAGGAACACCGGUGGCGAAGGCGGCCCUGGACCGGUCACUGACGCUGAGGCGCGAAAGCGUGGUAGCAAACGGG
rnacentral:rRNA from 1 species